CGCAGCCCGGCAACACGUAUGCGUAUAGAAACAUCGAUUGUUUACCGAUUACGAUAUUCACAAUCGAUUCACAACGUAACUUAACACUGGCUGGAUAUUUUUCAGUGACGCUCAAUUUUUUCGUGCGUGAUUCUUUGUGUAUUUUUUUUCGUGUGCAGUGUUGUGUACGCAGUGAUGUGUCGAGUGCUUGGAACUUUACUGUAUUGAGUUUGACAGAUACAUCACAAAGACUGCUCAACCUCCUAGGGGGUUCCAAAUUAAUAAGGUGUAGGAUGAGUUUGCGACGGUGGUAGAGGGCAGGAGGGCGGCCGGAUGUGGCCCCCGCGCGCCCGUCCGCCCGCCGCCUCCGUC